CCGCCGUCAAUCGAUCUGCAGAAAUGUGCCCUGGAACUGACUCUUAAUCAGUAGGUUCGGGGUUCAAGUCCCUGGCGGCGUACCA
rnacentral:tRNA from 1 species